rnacentral:tRNA from 1 species
AAGGAUUUAAGUUAAAUAAACUAUUGACCUUCAAAGUCAAAAAUAGGAUCGUUUCUAAGCCUUA